CGUGUAGGUGGUACUGUAAGUAGGGCGUGAAAGCUCCUGGCUCAACUGGGAGAGGCCGUUCUAAACUGCAGCACUCGAGUUUGGUAGAGGAAGAUGGAAUUCCAGGUGUAGCGGUAAAAUGCGCAGAUAUCUGGAGGAACACCAGUGGCGAAAGCGGUCUUCUAGACCAAUACUGACACUCAGACGCGAAAGCUAGGGUAGCAAACG
rnacentral:rRNA from 1 species